rnacentral:rRNA from 1 species
GGAUAAACGCUAGCGGCGUGCCUUAUGCAUGCAAGUCGAACGGUUGAGAGCAAUCUCAACAGUGGCAAACGGCUGAGUAACAUGUAAGCAACCUGUCCCUAAGUGGGGAAUAAUCCGCCGAAAGGUGGACUAAUACCGCAUGUGGUAGUGGAGGUAGGUUUCUACUACUAAAGCUUUCGGGCGCUUGAGGAGGGGCUUGCAUCCUAUCAGGUAGUUGGUGGGGUAACGGCUCACCAAGCCAAUGACGGGUAGCUGGUUUGAGAGGACGUCCAGCCAGACGGGGACUGAGACACGGCCCCGACUCCUACGGGAGGCAGCAGCAAGGAAUUUUGCGCAAUGGGCGAAAGCCUGACGCAGCAACGCCGCGUGAGGGAAGAAGGCCUUCGGGUUGUAAACCUCUUUUCCCAGGGAAGAAUAAUGACGGUACCUGGGGAAUAAGUCACGGCUAACUACGUGCCAGCAGCCGCGGUAAUACGUAGGUGGCGAGCGUUAUCCGGAUUCACUGGGCGUAAAGAGCGCGUAGGUGGUCCUUCAAGUCAGAUGUUAAAUCUCCUGGCUUAACUGGGAGUGGUCAUUUGAUACUGCUGGACUUGAGGGCGGUAGAGGGAGGUGGAAUUCCCGGUGUAGUGGUGAAAUGCGUAGAUAUCGGGAGGAACACCAGUGGCGAAAGCGGCCUCCUAGGCCGUUCCUGACACUGAGGCGCGAAAGCGUGGGGAGCGAACAGGAUCAGAUACCCUGGUAGUCCACGCCCUAAACUGUGGAAACUAGGUACAGGGAGUAUCGACCCUUCCUGCGCCGUAGCUAACGCGUUAAGUUUCCCGCCUGGGGACUACGGUCG